CCUACGGGUGGCAGCAGUGGGGAAUAUUGCGCAAUGGGCGAAAGCCUGACGCAGCGACGCCGCGUGAGGGAUGAAGGUCUUCGGAUCGUAAACCCCUGUCAGCAGGGAAGAACGGUCACUGUGCUAAUCAGCAGUGAAUUGACGGUACCUGCAAAGGAAGCACCGGCUAACUCCGUGCCAGCAGCCGCGGUAAUACGGAGGGUGCGAGCGUUAAUCGGAAUUACUGGGCGUAAAGCGGUCGUCGGCGGUAUGUCAAGUCAAGGGUGAAAUCCCCGCGCUCAACGUGGGAACUGCCUUUGAAACUGGCAAACUUGAGUGUGUGAGAGGAUAGUGGAAUUCCUGGUGUAGGAGUGAAAUCCGUAGAUAUCUGGAGGAACAUCAGUGGCGAAGGCGACUAUCUGGCACGUAACUGACGCUGAGGAGCGAAAGCGUGGGUAGCAAACAGGAUUAGAUACCCCAGUAGUC
rnacentral:rRNA from 1 species